GCACACAGACAGGUGGUCAUCCUGCCCUCACCUUGGCGUGUAAUCUGCGUAGGACAGUGGCCUGGUCCCAGGGGCCCAUUGUAGGGAGGUUGGGAAGUUAAAGAACACUCUGGCCUCCUCCAUCAUGUCGGCCAAGAGGGCAGAACCGAAGAAAAGCCUGAGCAAGAACUACAAGGCAGUGUGCCUGGAAUUGAAGCCAGAGCCGACCAAAGUAAGAAGCUUUUUUGAGGCCACGCCGGCAGCCAGGCCCGACCCCCGUGGGGAGGUGACGUGGAGUCAGGGCGCAUUCGCCGCUUCCGUUGGCCAAGACCCGUCCCAGACGUAUGACUACAAAGGAGCGAAGCAAGAUGGGCCAUUUACCAAACCAGGAGGGACACAUGAGCUAAGGAAUGAACUCAGGGAGGUGAGGGAAGAGCUCAAGGAAAAAAUGGACGAGAUCAAACAGAUAAAGGGCGUAAUGGACAAGGAUUUUGAUAAACUCCAGGAAUUUGUGGAGAUUAUGAAGGAAAUGCAGAAGGAUAUGGACGAGAAGAUGGAUGUUUUAAUAAAUAUACAGAAGAACAGCAAGCUUCCCCUUAGAAGAGGGCCAAAGGAACAGCAGGAACUCAGACUGAUAGGAAAAACAGACACAGACCCCCAGCUCCGGCUCAAGAAAAUGGAUGGAGCAGAUGGAACACCACUCUCUCUUCACAAGAAGAUCAUGGCCCUACAAAAGACAAAGAAGGACCCUCUGGAUUCCCUUCAUCAAUGCGGGACCUGCUGCCAAGACCCGAUGAGGUGCCCAGCAGGCUGGCCAUCUUGGACCAGGGAAAAAUGAUCUUUCUUGUGCCGUUUCUGUCCUCCACAGGAAAAAUGUUUGUUGAGUGCCCUAAAGAACAACUACAAUCAGGGCAGCAGAAAACUUCCAUGCCACACCUGGCCACCCUUUUCAUCCUUGGCCUCUGGAGCUGCUUUCUGAUUUAUCUGUGCCUCAAGCCCUACGCGGGGGAGGACGACAUGCUCCCAAGCUAGCACACCAGCAGCUCCGGCUCUUCCUCCCUCUGCUCCUUGAGCUGCACAGUAAAGGCUUGUGGCCCUCUGACCUACCACCCUGCCCCAGGCCUGCCCCCACCCGGAGAUUAAAAUCAUCACUUAAAGCCAAA